GACGUCAAAUCAUCAUGCCCCUUAUGUCCUGGGCUACACACGUGCUACAAUGGAUGGUACAACGAGUUGCGAACUCGCGAGAGUAAGUUAAUUUUUUAAAGCCAUUCUCUGUUGGGAUCGUAGGUUGCAACUGGCGUACAUGAAGUCGGAAUGCAUAGUAAUCGGGGAUCAGCAUGGCGCGGUGAAUACGUUCCCGGGCCUUGUACACACCGCCCGUCACACCAUGAGAGUUUGUUACACCCAAAGUCGGUGGGGUAACCUUUUAGGAACCAGCCGCCUAAGGUGGGACAGAUGAUUAGGGUGAAGUCGUAACAAGGUAUCCGUAGGAGAACC
rnacentral:rRNA from 1 species